rfam:Rhizoctonia solani isolate BBA 69670 genome assembly, contig: RSOLAG22IIIB_scaffold01582
GGCCGCCUGGCGAAAUGGUAUCGCGUCUGACUACGACUUGUAUCAAUCAGGAGAUUGCAGGUUCGAGCCCUGCGGUGGUCA